AGGAGACUGAAGUGAAGCUGUGCGGAUAGCUCAGAAGAGGCCCUGGUGGGGGAAAAAGUGCUGACCGGGACUGGAAGUGCCUCUACGGUGAACAGAUACAGCUAACGCGCGCGUCCACAAGGACCACAGAGCGAGCAUCAGUCUUGGGACACCCGCGGGAGGCUAGUUGGGGAAAUCGAGUUACGGGAUGGGCGUGAUUCCCCGGCUAAAAAGGUGCCAGUGCAGGUACCUGCGAAGACCUUAGGGGCUUCCAGAGACACGAGGUUUUCCAAAUGCAUUCUGCUCCCAGAGCAAGGUCCAGAGCCUGGCUCCAGUGAGACAAGGCAACGCAGCUGGAGGGGAGAAACCUUAAUACCACCGCCAGGAAAUGAACCCAGGACUCAAGAUGCUAUUAUAGAUGAUUGAUCUGAAAGACAACUAACUCCCAAAGAUGAAGAGGGCACGUGCUGAAACGUCCCAAGGACGUGUUGGAGAGUGAUGACGCGUCAUCGAUCCAGAAGAGUGAUGAACUCAACCUUCUGCAAUAACGUUUUAACAAUUACAAAAGUAAAAUAUGGAUUAAACUAUAAAACAUCAAAAUUGCAAUAAUAACAUUAAUGAACAGCAGAAUUUAUUAGAUGGGAGCAGCUAUAAAAAUGUAUAAUUUGCAAAGAGUCUAUGUUAUAAAGUACAUAAAGAUGUUACUAAACAUAAAAUUUUUUAACACUUUAAAUGUAUAUAAUUCUUGUUUUCUGUGAUGGUAAUGGUGGUUAGCAGUAUGCUAAUUAAAAAUAUUUAAUUGAGCGUAUCCAUUAUAGUCUUCUUAGAAAGAAUAUUUUUAUUGCAUUUUUAAGUUAGAGUAAAAGUUUUAUACCAUGAAUAAGUAAAACACUGUAAAAUAUUGUUUACCUUUAACUCAUUUGCUUUCAUUUAUAUUUUUGUGUAUGUUUAAUAAUGUUUAUAACAGAUUAUUGCAGUAAUACAUGAU